rnacentral:rRNA from 1 species
UACGGGAGGCAGCAGUAAGGAAUAUUGGUCAAUGGAGGCAACUCUGAACCAGCCAUGCCGCGUGCAGGAUGACUGCCCUAUGGGUUGUAAACUGCUUUUGUCAGGGAAUAAACCUUUCUACGUGUAGGAAGCUGAAUGUACCUGAAGAAUAAGGAUCGGCUAACUCCGUGCCAGCAGCCGCGGUAAUACGGAGGAUCCAAGCGUUAUCCGGAUUUAUUGGGUUUAAAGGGUGCGUAGGCGGUCCUAUAAGUCAGUGGUGAAAGACGGCAGCUUAACUGUCGCAGUGCCUUUGAUACUGUAGGACUUGAAUCUAUUUGAAGUGGGCGGAAUAAGACAAGUAGCGGUGAAAUGCAUAGAUAUGUCUUAGAACUCCGAUUGCGAAGGCAGCUCA